GAAUGCUGACAUAAGUAACGAUAAAGCGGGUGAAAAGCCCGCUCGCCGGAAGACCAAGGGUUCCUGUCCAACGUUAAUCGGGGCAGGGUGAGUCGACCCCUAAGGCGAGGCCGAAAGGCGUAGUCGAUGGGAAACGGGUUAAUAUUCCCGUACUUGGUGUUACUGCGAAGGGGGGACGGAGAAGGCUAUGUUGGCCGGGCGACGGUUGUCCCGGUUUAAGCGUGUAGGUGUGUGUUCCAGGUAAAUCCGGUUCACUUUAACACUGAGGCGUGACGACGAGGCACUACGGUGCUGAAGCAACAAAUGCCCUGCUUCCAGGAAAAGCCUCUAAGCAUCAGGUAACAUCAAAUCGUACCCCAAACCGACACAGGUGGUCAGGUAGAGAAUACCAAGGCGCUUGAGAGAACUCGGGUGAAGGAACUAGGCAAAAUGGUGCCGUAACUUCGGGAGAAGGCACGCUGACACGUAGGUGAAGUGAUUUACUCAUGGAGCUGAAGUCAGUCGAAGAUACCAGCUGGCUGCAACUGUUUAUUAAAAACACAGCACUGUGCAAACACGAAAGUGGACGUAUACGGUGUGACGCCUGCCCGGUGCCGGAAGGUUAAUUGAUGGGGUCAGCGCAAGCGAAGCUCCUGAUCGAAGCCCCGGUAAACGGCGGCCGUAACUAUAACGGUCCUAAGGUAGCGAAAUUCCUUGUCGGGUAAGUUCCGACCUGCACGAAUGGCGUAAUGAUGGCCAGGCUGUCUCCACCCGAGACUCAGUGAAAUUGAACUCGCUGUGAAGAUGCAGUGUACCCGCGGCAAGACGGAAAGACCCCGUGAACCUUUACUAUAGCUUGACACUGAACAUUGAGCCUUGAUGUGUAGGAUAGGUGGGAGGCUUUGAAGUGUGGACGCCAGUCUGCAUGGAGCCGACCUUGAAAUACCACCCUUUAAUGUUUGAUGUUCUAACGUGGACCCGUUACCCGGGUUGCGGACAGUGUCUGGUGGGUAGUUUGACUGGGGCGGUCUCCUCCUAAAGAGUAACGGAGGAGCACGAAGGUUGGCUAAUCCUGGUCGGACAUCAGGAGGUUAGUGCAAUGGCAUAAGCC
rnacentral:rRNA from 1 species